rnacentral:lncRNA from 1 species
CGUGGUAUGGAUUUAAAAAACAACAACUUCAGAUUGGUUUGUAUUACUUUGUUUUUGGUGUACUUCCACACAGUAGGUUUCAUUAUAUUUCAUGUUCAGGUUCGAAGCCAGAAAGCUUCAUGCAAGCCCUGCAUUGCGCCAUUGCUGCCUUGAGCCUUCAGUUGUUCACCUACUCUUUCAAAAAUGAAGCAACCAAGGUACAAGGCCUUGCAUGUAUUUUUAACCCAUCGAUGCUAAGCUAAAUGUGCUUCAGUGAUGAAGACUGAAGCACAUACUGUAGUCAUGUGCCUUUGGUUUACAGUCACAGAGGUCAGACCAGUAUCCUCAGAUGUUAGUGGAGGACUUUCUCAAUGCUCAAAUACCUGCUGAAACCCAGUUCACAGAGCAACACUUGGCCGACAGACUCCAGCGAUAUAAGUAUUUUAAAGUGGAGCAACUCAUCCGGGAUCUUAAGCAAUUUCCGGCACAGGAGACAGAAAGGGGUAACCUAUUUUGUUCGUAUUAGGUCCAUAAUAUGCAUGUACUAUAUGCACAGUAAGAAUGUAUGGUUGUCUAUUGAGCUGUGUAGGAAAUUGUAGUCCAAAAUCAUAUGAACUGUAGGAAUGUCUUGGAUAUUCCAUGACCAGUGUAUUUUAUGUAUUUGGCAGGGCCUACACCAAAAUGUUUAGGAACGCCUGUAAAAGUAAGUUGCUGACAGUUUAUUUUGCUGACAGAUGUUUUCUUGCUGUGUAGUACCGCAUGAAGGCAAUGUACUGUUCAUACUUCAUUUCUCAAUUCAUAUUUUCCUGUGGGAUUAUUCAGUUGACGAUUGCUUUACACUUUUAACUGUAGGCCCAAUGUGUGGAACAGGAAGUAGACUGUCUGAACGAAGUUUUCCUGAAACUUAGUAUUGAACUCCAGAAAAGGACUCAGAAGAAGAUGUGUCUAGAGCCAACGCUGCAAAGCUCUGACACGCCCUUAAAGAGUGCAGAUACAGAGGCCGCCCUGAGUCGUGAGGACACAGUGGUUUUAGAGCUGAAGAGACGAUGCGUAUCCCAGAGGCUUGAUGAACUGCAAAUCAUUUUAGCCGGAAUGGGCUGGCGCCAGCUAGACAGCCACAGGGCAGAGCCCAAGAAUUUGAGCAGUUCACACCCAGGGCCAGACAGUCAUAGAUCAUUCCAUAAGGAACACAUUCAUGCUCCAGACCCUGGGGGUGACCUAGACAGUGAGGGACCGAAGCAUCAAGCACUAGAAGACACCCAGAGCUGGUACAGUCGGGAUGUAGAUAACCAGGGGCCAAGUAGUCAGAUAGAUGGGUGA